ACUCCUACGGGAGGCAGCAGUAGGGAAUCUUCCACAAUGGGCGCAAGCCUGAUGGAGCAACACCGCGUGAGUGAAGAAGGGUUUCGGCUCGUAAAAGCUCUGUUGUUAAAGAAGAACACGUAUGAGAGUAACUGUUCAUACGUUGACGGUAUUUAACCAGAAAGUCACGGCUAACUACGUGCCAGCAGCCGCGGUAAUACGUAGGUGGCAAGCGUUAUCCGGAUUUAUUGGGCGUAAAGAGAGUGCAGGCGGUUUUCUAAGUCUGAUGUGAAAGCCUUCGGCUUAACCGGAGAAGUGCAUCGGAAACUGGAUAACUUGAGUGCAGAAGAGGGUAGUGGAACGUCCAUGUGUAGCGGUGGAAUGCGUAGAUAUAUGGAAGAAC
rnacentral:rRNA from 1 species